GAUGAACGCUGGCGGCGUGCUUAACACAUGCAAGUCGAACGAAGCACUUUAUUUGAUUUCCUUCGGGACUGAUUAUUUUGUGACUGAGUGGCGGACGGGUGAGUAACGCGUGGGUAACCUGCCUUGUACAGGGGGAUAACAGUUGGAAACGGCUGCUAAUACCGCAUAAGCGCACAGCAUCGCAUGAUGCAGUGUGAAAAACUCCGGUGGUAUAAGAUGGACCCGCGUUGGAUUAGCUAGUUGGUGAGGUAACGGCCCACCAAGGCGACGAUCCAUAGCCGACCUGAGAGGGUGACCGGCCACAUUGGGACUGAGACACGGCCCAAACUCCUACGGGAGGUAGCAGUGGGGAAUAUUGCACAAUGGGCGAAAGCCUGAUGCAGCGACGCCGCGUGAGCGAAGAAGUAUUUCGGUAUGUAAAGCUCUAUCAGCAGGGAAGAUAAUGACGGUACCUGACUAAGAAGCACCGGCUAAAUACGUG
rnacentral:rRNA from 1 species